rnacentral:rRNA from 1 species
UACGUAGGUGGCAAGCGUUGUUCGGAUUUAUUGGGUUUAAAGGGUGCGUAGGCGGCUUUGUAAGUCAGUGGUGAAAUAUGGCAGCUCAACUGUCAGGGUGCCAUUGAUACUGCGGAGCUUGAGUACAGAUGAGGUAGGCGGAAUUGACGGUGUAGCGGUGAAAUGCUUAGAUAUCGUCAAGAACACCGAUAGCGAAGGCAGCUUACUGGGCUGUAACUGACGCUGAGGCACGAAAGUGUGGGGAUCAAACAGG